rnacentral:rRNA from 1 species
AUUGAACGCUGGCGGCAUGCCUUACACAUGCAAGUCGAACGUGAAAGGGGGGCAACCCCGACGUAGAGUGGCGGACGGGUGAGCAACACAUCGGAACGUACCCAGUAGUGGGGGACGAACCUCGAGAAAUCGAGGCUAAUACCGCAUACGACCCACGGGUGAAAGCGGGGGACCGCAAGGCCUCGCGCUAUUGGAGCGGCCGAUGUCCGAUUAGCUUGUUGGUGGGGUAACGGCCCACCAAGGCGACGAUCGGUAGCUGGUCUGAGAGGAUGAUCAGCCACACUGGGACUGAGAC